UUAAGCGACUAAGCGUACACGGUGGAUGCCCUGGCAGUCAGAGGCGAUGAAGGACGUGCUAAUCUGCGAAAAGCGUCGGUAAGGUGAUAUGAACCGUUAUAACCGGCGAUGUCCGAAUGGGGAAACCCAGUGUGAUUCGUCACACUAUCGUUAACUGAAUACAUAGGUUAACGAGGCGAACCGGGGGAACUGAAACAUCUAAGUACCCCGAGGAAAAGAAAUCAACCGAGAUUCCCCCAGUAGCGGCGAGCGAACGGGGAGCAGCCCAGAGUCUGAAUCAGCUUGUGUGUUAGUGGAACGGUCUGGAAAGUCCGACGGUACAGGGUGAUAGUCCCGUACACCAAAAUGCACAGGCUGUGAACUCGAAGAGUAGGGCGGGACACGUGGUAUCCUGUCUGAAUAUGGGGGGACCAUCCUCCAAGGCUAAAUACUCCUGACUGACCGAUAGUGAACCAGUACCGUGAGGGAAAGGCGAAAAGAACCCCGGCGAGGGGAGUGAAAAAGAACCUGAAACCGUGUACGUACAAGCAGUGGGAGCACCUUCGGGUGUGACUGCGUACCUUUUGUAUAAUGGGUCAGCGACUUAUAUUCUGUAGCAAGGUUAACCGUAUAGGGGAGCCGCAGGGAAACCGAGUCUUAACUGGGCGUUAAGUUGCAGGGUAUAGACCCGAAACCCGGUGAUCUAGCCAUGGGCAGGUUGAAGGUUGGGUAACACUAACUGGAGGACCGAACCGACUAAUGUUGAAAAAUUAGCGGAUGACUUGUGGCUGGGGGUGAAAGGCCAAUCAAACCGGGAGAUAGCUGGUUCUCCCCGAAAGCUAUUUAGGUAGCGCCUCGUGAAUUCAUCUUCGGGGGUAGAGCACUGUUUCGGCUAGGGGGUCAUCCCGACUUACCAACCCGAUGCAAACUACGAAUACCGAAGAAUGUUAUCACGGGAGACACACGGCGGGUGCUAACGUCCGUCGUGAAGAGGGAAACAACCCAGACCGCCAGCUAAGGUCCCAAAGUCAUGGUUAAGUGGGAAACGAUGUGGGAAGGCACAGACAGCCAGGAUGUUGGCUUAGAAGCAGCCAUCAUUUAAAGAAAGCGUAAUAGCUCACUGGUCGAGUCGGCCUGCGCGGAAGAUGUAACGGGGCUAAACCAUGCACCGAAGCUGCGGCAGCGACACUAUGUGUUGUUGGGUAGGGGAGCGUUCUGUAAGCCUGCGAAGGUGACCUGUGAGGGUUGCUGGAGGUAUCAGAAGUGCGAAUGCUGACAUAAGUAACGAUAAAGCGGGUGAAAAGCCCGCUCGCCGGAAGACCAAGGGUUCCUGUCCAACGUUAAUCGGGGCAGGGUGAGUCGACCCCUAAGGCGAGGCCGAAAGGCGUAGUCGAUGGGAAACAGGUUAAUAUUCCUGUACUUGGUGUUACUGCGAAGGGGGGACGGAGAAGGCUAUGUUAGCCGGGCGACGGUUGUCCCGGUUUAAGCAUGUAGGCUGAUUGUCCAGGCAAAUCCGGAUAAUCAAGGCUGAGGUGUGAUGACGAGGCACUACGGUGCUGAAGUAACAAAUGCCCUGCUUCCAGGAAAAGCCUCUAAGCAUCAGGUAACAUCAAAUCGUACCCCAAACCGACACAGGUGGUCAGGUAGAGAAUACCAAGGCGCUUGAGAGAACUCGGGUGAAGGAACUAGGCAAAAUGGUGCCGUAACUUCGGGAGAAGGCACGCUGGUGUGUAGGUGAAGUCCCUGCGGAUGGAGCUGAGACCAGUCGAAGAUACCAGCUGGCUGCAACUGUUUAUUAAAAACACAGCACUGUGCAAACACGAAAGUGGACGUAUACGGUGUGACGCCUGCCCGGUGCCGGAAGGUUAAUUGAUGGGGUUAUCCGUAAGGAGAAGCUCUUGAUCGAAGCCCCGGUAAACGGCGGCCGUAACUAUAACGGUCCUAAGGUAGCGAAAUUCCUUGUCGGGUAAGUUCCGACCUGCACGAAUGGCGUAAUGAUGGCCAGGCUGUCUCCACCCGAGACUCAGUGAAAUUGAACUCGCUGUGAAGAUGCAGUGUACCCGCGGCAAGACGGAAAGACCCCGUGAACCUUUACUAUAGCUUGACACUGAACAUUGAGCCUUGAUGUGUAGGAUAGGUGGGAGGCUUUGAAGCGUGGACGCCAGUCUGCGUGGAGCCAACCUUGAAAUACCACCCUUUAAUGUUUGAUGUUCUAACGUUGGCCCCUUACCGGGGUUGCGGACAGUGUCUGGUGGGUAGUUUGACUGGGGCGGUCUCCUCCCAAAGCGUAACGGAGGAGCACGAAGGUUAGCUAAUCCUGGUCGGACAUCAGGAGGUUAGUGCAAUGGCAUAAGCUAGCUUGACUGCGAGCGUGACGGCGCGAGCAGGUGCGAAAGCAGGUCAUAGUGAUCCGGUGGUUCUGAAUGGAAGGGCCAUCGCUCAACGGAUAAAAGGUACUCCGGGGAUAACAGGCUGAUACCGCCCAAGAGUUCAUAUCGACGGCGGUGUUUGGCACCUCGAUGUCGGCUCAUCACAUCCUGGGGCUGAAGUAGGUCCCAAGGGUAUGGCUGUUCGCCAUUUAAAGUGGUACGCGAGCUGGGUUUAGAACGUCGUGAGACAGUUCGGUCCCUAUCUGCCGUGGGCGCUGGAGAAUUGAGGGGGGCUGCUCCUAGUACGAGAGGACCGGAGUGGACGCAUCACUGGUGUUCGGGUUGUCAUGCCAAUGGCACUGCCCGGUAGCUAAAUGCGGAAGAGAUAAGUGCUGAAAGCAUCUAAGCACGAAACUUGCCCCGAGAUGAGUUCUCCCUGAGACUUUAAGUCUCCUGAAGGAACGUUGAAGACGACGACGUUGAUAGGCCGGGUGUGUAAGCGCAGCGAUGCGUUGAGCUAACCGGUACUAAUGAACCGUGAGGCUUAACCUU
rnacentral:rRNA from 1 species